GGGCCCCGCCUUCUUAACCUGGACCCCCGAGGAAGUGGCUGACUGGAUAGGAUUGUUGGGCUUCCCCGAAUAUAAGGAAUGCUUUACUGAAAACUUUAUCUCUGGACGGAAGCUCAUCCAUGUAAACUGUUCAAAUCUGCCACAGAUUGGGAUAACUAAUUUUGAGCAUAUGAAGGAAAUUUCCCGUCAUGUCCGACAACUGCUGGAAAUAGAGGAGCCUUUGUUUUCCAGAAGCAUCGCUCUCCCCUACAGAGAUAACAUGGGAUUAUUUCUCGAACAAAAAUCUCGGACAGGAAAACGAAGCGAUGCUCUCACCUAUUCUAAGUUUAUCCAGGAUGCACAUUUAAAGACAUA